rnacentral:other from 1 species
CUCCACCUGCGGGGAGCGAGUAGUUCUCUAAUUCCUUAGAACCUAAAUUACAUAUAGGGGAUUGGUUUGCGAUACCGGUGUGCAUGUCUGGAUAGAUCUAACCAGAAAGCCUGAAAGUAUUGCACUAGUCUCCACUUGGAUCUAACGGUUCAAGGCAACCAGGAUUGCACGACAUCAGCGGGUGGUAG